rnacentral:rRNA from 1 species
UCCGUAGCAAGCCUAAGCUGCUAAGCAGUGGAGGCGUAGCGAAAGCGAGUCUGAAUAGGGCGAUUGAGUUGCUGGCAUAAGACCCGAAGGGGAGGUGAUCUUACCAUGACCAGGUUGAAGCGUUAGUAAAAUAACGUGGAGGACCGAACCGGUGUAGCUUGAGAACUGCUCGGAUGAGUUGUGGUAAGGAGUGAAAGGCUAAUCAAACCCCCUGAUAGCUGGUUCUUUCCGAAAUAUAUUGAGGUAUAGCGUCGAGCGCUGACCUGUGGAGGUAGAGCACUGAAUAAGCUAGGGCCCCUACCGGGGUACUGAACUUUAUCAAACUCCGAAUGCCACAGGGUGAAGCUCGGCAGUCAGACUUAGGGUGCUAACGUCCUAAGUCGAGAGGGCAACAACCCAGACCAUCAGUUAAGGUCCCUAAAUGUGGCUCAGUGGUAAAGGAUGUGAUUUUACUUAGACAAUGGGGAUGUUGGCUUAGAGGCAGCCAUCAUUUAAACAGUGCGUAACAGCUGACCCAUCGAGUGAAAUUGCGCCGAAAAUGAUCGGGACUUAAGCCACAUACCGAAGCUAUGGAUUUCAGUUCCUCGGAACUGGAGUAGUAGGAAAGCGUUCCAAGUGCAGUGAAGGAGAAGGGGCAACCGACUCUGGAGCGCUUGGAAGUGAGAAUGCAGACAUGAGUAACGAUAAAGAUGGUUAAAGUCCAUCUCGCCGUAAGGAUAAGGUUUCCUGGGGAAGGCUCGUCCUCCCAGGGUUAGUCGGGAGCUAAGAUGAGGCCGUAAGGAGUAAUCGAUGCACAGAAGGUUAAUAUUCCUUCACCGGCUUGCAACUAUCCCCAGAGUGCGGAUCGACGGACCCUACAGACCUGUUUUGACAAGGCACUGCAAAGCUACGGCUGCGUGGGUGUAGGGAAAGAAGGUUCCAAGAAAAGCUCUGGAAUUACUAUGCAGGUCGCUCGUACCGCAAACCGACACAGGUAUCCGGGAUGAGUAUUCUAAGGCGCGCGAGUUAAAUCUCUCUAAGGAACUCGGCAAAUUGGCCCCGUAUCUUCGGUAUAAGGGGUGCCCCUCUAGGGGGGUCGCAGUUAAUAGCGUCAACCGACUGUUUAGCAAAAACACAGCUCUCUGCAAAGUCGCAAGACGACGUAUAGGGAGUGACACGUGACCAAUGCGAAAAGGUGAACGCCUGGGGUGCAAGCUCCGGGUCUAAGCCCUCGUGAAUGUCGGCCGUAACUAUAACGGUCCUAAGGUAGCGAAAUUCCUUGUCGGGUAAGUUCCGACCCGCACGAAUCGUGUAACGAGUUGACGACUGUCUCGGAGAGACGCUCGGUGAAAUUGUAGUAGCGGUUAAGAUGCCGCUUACCCGCAGCAGGACGGAAAGACCCUAUGCACCUUUACUGUAAGCUGUUAUUGUCGCUUGAUCUUCAUUGCGUAGAAUAGGUGGGAGACGUUGAUCCUUCGUUCCAGGACGAAGGCUAGUCGUAAUGUGAAAUACCACUCUUUGUUGGUUAGGCGUCUAACCUCUUUCCAUUAUCUGGAGGAGGGACAGUGAUAAGAUCGGAAGAGCACACGUCUGAACUCCAGUCACUGGAAUAAUCUC